rnacentral:rRNA from 1 species
CAGCCGCCACGGUAAUACGUAGGGUGCAAGCGUUAAUCGGAAUUAUUGGGCGUAAAGCGAGCGCAGGCGGUUAGAUAAGUCUGAAGUUAAAGGCUGUGGCUUAACCAUAGUACGCUUUGGAAACUGUUUAACUUGAGUGCAGAAGGGGAGAGUGGAAUUCCAUGUGUAGCGGUGAAAUGCGUAGAUAUUGGGAAGAACACCAGUGGCGAAGGCGGCUUUCUGGACUGCAACUGACGCUGAGGCUCGAAAACCAGGGGAGCGAACGGGAUUAGAUACCCGCGUAGUCCCUGUCUCUUAUACA